rnacentral:rRNA from 1 species
GACGAACGCUGGCGGCGUGCCUAAUACAUGCAAGUAGAACGCUGAAGGAGGAGCUUGCUUCUCUGGAUGAGUUGCGAACGGGUGAGUAACGCGUAGGUAACCUGCCUGGUAGCGGGGGAUAACUAUUGGAAACGAUAGCUAAUACCGCAUAACAGUAGAUAUCGCAUGAUAUCUACUUGAAAGGUGCAAUUGCAUCACUACCAGAUGGACCUGCGUUGUAUUAGCUAGUUGGUGAGGUAACGGCUCACCAAGGCGACGAUACAUAGCCGACCUGAGAGGGUGAUCGGCCACACUGGGACUGAGACACGGCCCAGACUCCUACGGGAGGCAGCAGUAGGGAAUCUUCGGCAAAGGACGGAAGUCUGACCGAGCAGCGCCGCGUGAGUGAAGAAGGUGUUCGGAUCGUAAAGCUCUGUUGUAAGAGAAGAACGAGUGUGAGAGUGGAAAGUUCACACUGUGACGGUAUCUUACCAGAAAGGGACGGCUAACUACGU